GAUGAACGCUGGCGGCGUGCCUAAUACAUGCAAGUCGAGCGGACGGACGAGAAGCUUGCUUCUCUGAUGUUAGCGGCGGACGGGUGAGUAACACGUGGAUAACCUACCUAUAAGACUGGGAUAACUUCGGGAAACCGGAGCUAAUACCGGAUGAUAUUUUGAACCGCAUGGUUCAAAAGUGAAAGACGGUCUUGCUGUCACUUAUAGAUGGAUCCGCGCUGCAUUAGCUAGUUGGUAAGGUAACGGCUUACCAAGGCAACGAUGCAUAGCCGACCUGAGAGGGUGAUCGGCCACACUGGAACUGAGACACGGUCCAGACUCUUACGGGAGGCAGCAGUAGGGAAUCUUCCGCAAUGGGCGAAAGCCUGACGGAGCAACGCCGCGUGAGUGAUGAAGGUCUUCGGAUCGUAAAACUCUGUUAUUAGGGAAGAACAUAUGUGUAAGUAACUGUGCACAUCUUGACGGUACCUAAUCAGAAAGCCACGGCUAACUACGUG
rnacentral:rRNA from 1 species